GUAAGGAAUAUUGCGCAAUGGGCGAAAGCCUGACGCAGCAACGCCGCGUGGAUGAAGAAGGCCUUCGGGUUGUAAAAUCCUUUUAUAGGGGAUGAGACAAGGACAGUACCCUGUGAAUAAGCGUCGGCUAACUACGUGCCAGCAGCCGCGGUAAAACGUAGGACGCGAGCGUUAUCCGGAUUUACUGGGCGUAAAGCGUGUGCAGGCGGUCAUCUAAGUCGGACGUGAAAGCUCCCGGCUCAACCGGGAGAGGCCGUUCGAAACUAUAUGACUAGAGGGCAGGAGAGGAGCGUGGAAUUCCGGGUGUAGUGGUGAAAUACGUAGAUAUCCGGAGGAACACCAGUGGCGAAGGCGACGCUCUGGACUGCUCCUGACGCUAGGACACGAAAGCUAGGGUAGCGAACGGG
rnacentral:rRNA from 1 species